AAAGCGUGCGCAGGCGGUUUUGUAAGACAGGCGUGAAAUCCCCGAGCUCAACUUGGGAAUGGCGCUUGUGACUGCAAGGCUAGAGUAUGUCAGAGGGGGGUAGAAUUCCACGUGUAGCAGUGAAAUGCGUAGAGAUGUGGAGGAAUACCGAUGGCGAAGGCAGCCCCCUGGGACGUCACUGACGCUCAUGCACGAAAGCGUGGGGAGCAAACAGGAUUAGAUACCCCAGU
rnacentral:rRNA from 1 species